CAGAGUAUAUGAUGGGUGGCCAAAAAGGUAUGUAAAGCUUCUCUCGGCUUAUUGGAACUUCUUUUUUCUUUGUACCCAAAUAAAAUUGCGUCUGGAUUUUUUUUCCGAGUUUUUUUUAAUGUUAUUCCAUAUGUAAUGUAAAAUUCUUCAAAAAUACUCAACAUGGUGUAUAUUUAUAAAAAAGUGGAACUUAAAAUCUUGGUAAUCUCCAAUUCAUUGCUUCAUCAUAGUGAAAACCACAUAGAGAUACCAAAAUGCACAGAAAAGAAUAUUUGCAUUUUUAUGUUCACACCAAAUAAGGAGUUGGAAGAUUAAGUAACCAAUCAAUGCGUACACGGAGCUCCUCCUUUAUUUCUCAAAAGUUCUAAUAAAAUUCCAGUAGGGGCUGAGCCCCUCCUGUUUCCCUCAAAAAAAAAAACAGUAGUGUUCUGCCCUAGACAAUACAAUGAGUCAUCAAAUUUGAUUUCUCAGUAUCCUAGUCACCGGUGAUGCAAUGGUUUUCACAAAACUGCUGGUACUAGAUGGCGAAGCACUUAAGCAUAGUUCAACUAAUUUGAGUGUGACAUCAAAUCAGUUGAUCCCAUGUUCCAGCCCACAGUUUCAUUAUAAUUAUGACUAGGCAAAGAGAAAAAUGAUAUGCAAUUAGAAAAAAAAUGUCAAUACUUCAAGCAACGAUUGAUAGAACAGCUUGGUCAUGAUAUUCUUUUAUUAGAAAAAAUAAAUCAUCACUGGUCCAAAACUACAUACCUCUUUCAGAACAAAGUCAUUACAAGGUUAAUAACCAGAGAAGAUCGAGUUAUUUAUGAACAUGUAAAUAAACAUAGCAAGAAGGUAAUGCUUCAGACAGAGGACCAGGUUGGUCAUCAAAAAUGAAAACCAAACAAAUUCGCCUGUCAUUUUCCUUGUGUGGUCUACCCUUGCAGUGAGUGAGUGAGAUGCGAUGAGAUGAAAGAUGCCAACGCUCGCCAUAGUACUUCACGUUUGAGACCUAGGUAGUGGCUGUGGAGAUGCCACGUGCGCACCAGACAAGUCACGAGGCUCGUACACAAAACUCUGGGUCUACACACGUUAUCACACAGUAAAAGUGGUGUGCUGUGGAGGACACACGAACCACUUUCCUUACCGUCACUUUCAUGAUAGGCUACCCACUUUUCCAUAACAAUUAUUAUGCAGUUUUUUUUUUGUGGAAAAUAAUAAUACAAUCAAUGCAGGACUAUACUGUUUUGAGAGUUGGUCUAUUUAAAAUUUAAGGAGAUGUUUGGUUUGAACCUCCGCAUGAGAGCCAGAUGUAUUUCUCAAGGUGGGAAGUAAGCACGCUUAGGUUUUAUUUAGAUGCACAUUUAUCUAACUGAACCUCUUUUGUGUUGGAGUGUCUUGAGGUGUAAUUUAAUUUAAAUUCUGCUUUAGUCCACUUCAUCACGUAUAAAUUAAGGUAGGUACAUGUGCAUCCAAAUAAACCCUUAGGUACAACUGAUUUGCUCUGCAAUAUGUCCUUUAUCUUUGGUGAUGAACGGAAAACAACUCCAACGAGUUAGGAUUUUGGACUUUGGGUUUACCAAAAUGGUUUGCUAGCUUACCGAAAUGCCUAAGUAGCAAGCCGGUAGUGACUACUGGUGGUGGUGCACACACAAGGCAAAAACUUCACUAGAUGACGAGAUUCACACCAAUGCCAAAUAUAGCAGUGCGAGCUAGAGUAAUGCCAGUUGUGCACUGGCAGAGGGUAGAAGAAUCAUGGCCAAAAGUUGGGGUUUUAAACAUCCGAUUGGACUCAUAACAUGCCCUACUGUAUUUAUCAUAUAUAUUACUCCAUCUGUCCUGGAAUAGAGUGCAUUCUGGCAUUUGAGAUAUAUCCCCAAAUAUAGUACAUUCGAGGAACAAGAAGAUAAUAUUUACUUAAAUAAAAUUAUGGAAGAGGAAAUUAAUUGAGUGUUUACCAUAUUUUCUACAAGAAAACUUAAAUUACACCAUUUUAUCAUACGAAUAGGAUCAGAUUUCAAUAAAUUAGGAAGUUAAGUGAGGGGUACAUGCGUCUAUUGCCCUUUCUCUUAUUUUAUCUUAGAAUAGCCACAACGCAUUGUAUUAUAGGACGGGGAAGUAUCUCAUAAAAUGCGGGAGAUCAAUUUCAUAGUUAAUAUUAAUGUAGUUUUUCUCCACAUUGAUUCAUUUUGAUUAAAUGAUUCUUUAAUAAUCAAUGAACUCGUAUGGAGAAAAACAACAAAGUUAUGGUUGUGGUAUUGAAGUGAUGUAGCUAGUGUUACAAAGAUAAGAUCUGGUACAAGAUAUUAUGAACUUUUUCAAUGGCUGAGUUUAUACAUAAACAUAUGAAAAGAACUUAUAAGUAAUGAAGCUUUCCUUAUCGAAAAAAAUCUUUGCUUAAUUCAGUGACUUAGCUACUGUAGAUUUUGUAUUCCUGAAACUGAAAUAUUAUGUCAGGUAUGACACUCCUUGGUUAUAUGCAAAGUAUGACCGAAAAAAAAAGAUCUACUGAUCCAUUUGCAGGGCCAGACGGGGUGAGUCCUCAGUUUCUCACUACUUUUGGAACCAUUUGCUGUAGUAUAAACUUGAGACAAAGAAGGGUCGAGUGGCUACCAAUUUGCACGUCUCCAUUGGUAGAUCCCCCGUGAUCUCUUGGACCCCCACAUCUGAAUUAUUGGGAUCGAUCCUCUGCAUUCGCAUACAUAGCAGCAUCUCGCAAUCGUGAUAUCAGAAGCAUAUCCUUGACGCCAUCCUGGAGAAUGGGAAGCAGGAAAAGGAGAUGUAACGGCGCAGGCUCUUUUGGAAGCAGGCAACGAGAUGUUUUGAAUUUCCUCAUAAGCUUUCGACAUACCGCGAACAAAU
rnacentral:lncRNA from 1 species